rnacentral:misc_RNA from 1 species
GGGAGAGAUCGCAUAGAAUUUUAAAACAUUGAAACAGACGAGCAAUACCUUAUUUAAUUCUAAAUAUUUUGGAUAAACAUAAAUUUAACAGGUGACUGCAUUUUGUUUUUAUUGUCUAAGAACUUGACUGGUUCUCCAGAAACAGGUAAAAAUUAAAAUAUGUUGCAAUAAAAUGAAUUAGUUUCCAAGAGUUUUAGGCCCUUCUUAAAAUUUUGUUAAGCUAUAGUUGGCGCCUAUCAUUCCAUACCUCCUAUCAAUAUGUUUUGGACUUAUCCUUUCUGUCAUGUACAGGACGGUCAAAAUCAUCGAAGUUUUUCUUUUUGUAGGUGAAUCUGUUAUAUGUAUUACAUUGUAUUUAUUAUCAUUAUACUUUUAUAUGACUUUUUAGUAGGUCUUAUUCCAUUUGCUUUCUAUUAUCAUCUUCUUGUGGAUUUCUUUUCUCUUGUUCAACCUUAGAAGGAUAUUUCAAC